CCUACGGGAGGCAGCAGUAGGGAAUCUUCGGCAAUGGGGGGAACCCUGACCGAGCAACGCCGCGUGAGUGAAGAAGGUUUUCGGAUCGUAAAGCUCUGUUGUUAGAGAAGAACGGUAAUGGGAGUGGAAAAUCCAUUACGUGACGGUAACUAACCAGAAAGGGACGGCUAACUACGUGCCAGCAGCCGCGGUAAUACGUAGGUCCCGAGCGUUGUCCGGAUUUAUUGGGCGUAAAGCGAGCGCAGGCGGUUUGAUAAGUCUGAAGUUAAAGGCUGUGGCUUAACCAUAGUUCGCUUUGGAAACUGUCAAACUUGAGUGCAGAAGGGGAGAGUGGAAUUCCAUGUGUAGCGGUGAAAUGCGUAGAUAUAUGGAGGAACACCGGUGGCGAAAGCGGCUCUCUGGUCUGUAACUGACGCUGAGGCUCGAAAGCGUGGGGAGCAAACAGGAUUAGAUACCCUGGUAGUCCACGCCGUAAACGAUGAGUGCUAGGUGUUAGGCCCUUUCCGGGGCUUAGUGCCGUAGCUAACGCAUUAAGCACUCCGCCUGGGGAGUACGACCGCAAGGUUGAAACUCAAAG
rnacentral:rRNA from 1 species